GGGGGGACGGAGAAGGCUAUGUUGGCCGGGCGACGGUUGUCCCGGUUUAAGCGUGUAGGCUGGUUUUCCAGGCAAAUCCGGAAAAUCAAGGCUGAGGCGUGAUGACGAGGCACUACGGUGCUGAAGCAACAAAUGCCCUGCUUCCAGGAAAAGCCUCUAAGCAUCAGGUAACAUCAAAUCGUACCCCAAACCGACACAGGUGGUCAGGUAGAGAAUACCAAGGCGCUUGAGAGAACUCGGGUGAAGGAACUAGGCAAAAUGGUGCCGUAACUUCGGGAGAAGGCACGCUGAUAUGUAGGUGAAGUCCCUUGCGGAUGGAGCUGAAAUCAGUCGAAGAUACCAGCUGGCUGCAACUGUUUAUUAAAAACACAGCACUGUGCAAACACGAAAGUGGACGUAUACGGUGUGACGCCUGCCCGGUGCCGGAAGGUUAAUUGAUGGGGUCAGCGCAAGCGAAGCUCUUGAUCGAAGCCCCGGUAAACGGCGGCCGUAACUAUAACGGUCCUAAGGUAGCGAAAUUCCUUGUCGGGUAAGUUCCGACCUGCACGAAUGGCGUAAUGAUGGCCAGGCUGUCUCCACCCGAGACUCAGUGAAAUUGAACUCGCUGUGAAGAUGCAGUGUACCCGCGGCAAGACGGAAAGACCCCGUGAACCUUUACUAUAGCUUGACACUGAACAUUGAGCCUUGAUGUGUAGGAUAGGUGGGAGGCUUUGAAGUGUGGACGCCAGUCUGCAUGGAGUCGACCUUGAAAUACCACCCUUUAAUGUUUGAUGUUCUAACGUGGACCCGUGAUCCGGGUUGCGGACAGUGUCUGGUGGGUAGUUUGACUGGGGCGGUCUCCUCCUAAAGAGUAACGGAGGAGCACGAAGGUUGGCUAAUCCUGGUCGGACAUCAGGAGGUUAGUGCAAUGGCAUAAGCCAGCUUGACUGCGAGCGUGACGGCGCGAGCAGGUGCGAAAGCAGGUCAUAGUGAUCCGGUGGUUCUGAAUGGAAGGGCCAUCGCUCAACGGAUAAAAGGUACUCCGGGGAUAACAGGCUGAUACCGCCCAAGAGUUCAUAUCGACGGCGGUGUUUGGCACCUCGAUGUCGGCUCAUCACAUCCUGGGGCUGAAGUAGGUCCCAAGGGUAUGGCUGUUCGCCAUUUAAAGUGGUACGCGAGCUGGGUUUAGAACGUCGUGAGACAGUUCGGUCCCUAUCUGCCGUGGGCGCUGGAGAACUGAGGGGGGCUGCUCCUAGUACGAGAGGACCGGAGUGGACGCAUCACUGGUGUUCGGGUUGUCAUGCCAAUGGCACUGCCCGGUAGCUAAAUGCGGAAGAGAUAAGUGCUGAAAGCAUCUAAGCACGAAACUUGCCCCGAGAUGAGUUCUCCCUGACCCUUUAAGGGUCCUGAAGGAACGUUGAAGACGACGACGUUGAUAGGCCGGGUGUGUAAGCGCAGCGAUGCGUUGAGCUAACCGGUACUAAUGAACCGUGAGGCUUAACCUUACAACGCCGAAG
rnacentral:rRNA from 1 species